UAGGGAAUCUUCGGCAAUGGACGAAAGUCUGACCGAGCAACGCCGCGUGAGUGAAGAAGGUUUUCGGAUCGUAAAACUCUGUUGUUAGAGAAGAACAAGGACGUUAGUAACUGAACGUCCCCUGACGGUAUCUAACCAGAAAGCCACGGCUAACUACGUGCCAGCAGCCGCGGUAAUACGUAGGUGGCAAGCGUUGUCCGGAGUUAUUGGGCGUAAAGCGAGCGCAGGCGGUUUCUUAAGUCUGAUGUGAAAGCCCCCGGCUCAACCGGGGAGGGGCAUUGGAAACUGGGAGACUUGAGUGCAGAAGAGGAGAGUGGAAUUCCAUGUGUAGCGGUGAAAUGCGUAGAUAUAUGGAGGAACACCAGUGGCGAAGGCGGCUCUCUGGUCUGUAACUGACGCUGAGGCUCGAAAGCGUGGGGAGCAAACAGG
rnacentral:rRNA from 1 species